rnacentral:rRNA from 1 species
AUCGAUGCUAGGGUGAGGCUCGCUAUGAACCUGGCGAAUUAUGGCGAACGGGUGAGUAUCACGUGAGUAACCUGCCCUUGACUCUGGGAUAAGCCUGGGAAACUGGGUCUAAUACCGGAUACGACCAGUCCUCGCAUGGGGUGCUGGUGGAAAGAUUUUAUCGGUCUUGGAUGGACUCGCGGCCUAUCAGUUUGUUGGUGAGGUAAUGGCUCACCAAGGCGAUGACGGGUAGCCGGCCUGAGAGGGUGACCGGCCACACUGGGACUGAGACACGGCCCAGACUCCUACGGGAGGCAGCAGUGGGGAAUAUUGCACAAUGGGCGCAAGCCUGAUGCAGCGACGCCGCGUGCGGGAUGACGGCCUUCGGGUUGUAAACCGCUUUCAGCAGGGAAGAAGCUUUUUGUGACGGUACCUGCAGAAGAAGCGCCGGCUAACUACGUGCCAGCAGCCGCGGUAAUACGUAGGGCGCGAGCGUUAUCCGGAAUUAUUGGGCGUAAAGGGCUCGCAGGCGGUUUGCCACGUCUGCUGUGAAAGCCCGGGGCUUAACUCCGGGUGUGCAGUGGGUACGGGUAGACUAGAGUGCAGUAGGGGAGACUGGAAUUCCUGGUGUAGCGGUGAAAUGCGCAGAUAUCAGGAAGAACACCGAUGGCGAAGGCAGGUCUCUGGGCUGUUACUGACGCUGAGGAGCGAAAGCAUGGGG